rnacentral:rRNA from 1 species
ACUCAAAGGAAUAGACGGGAGAGCGCACAACCAGUGGAGCAUGUGGUUUAAUUCGAUACGAACCGAAGACCUCACCCAGGCUUGACAUCCAACUGCACGUCCGAUGAAAGUCGGAUUCUUUCGAAGGUGUUGGACAGGUGUUGCAUGGCUGUCGUCAGCUCGUGCCGUGGGGUGUUCCCUUAAGUGGGAUAACGAGCGCAACCCCUACUGUGUGUUAAAUAUUCACACGGGACAGCCCUAAUUUUAUUAGGGAGGAAGGAGGGGACGACGUCAAGUCAGCAUGGCCCUUAUGUCUGGGGCCACACACAUGCUACAAUGACGCUUAACAAUGGGUCGCCAAGCCGCGAGGCGGAGCUAAUCCCAUCAAACAGCGUCUCAGUGGGGAUUGCAGUCUGAAACUCGACUGCAUGAACGCGGAAUUGGUAGUAAUCGCAAAUCAGCUAUGUUGCGGUGAAUACGUUCUCGCUCUUUGUACACACCGCCCGU